CGGCCAAAGUUCUCCGCACUCCCGCUCAGGCCUUCCCCAAGGCAGUUCAACUCAGUGCCAAGUCCAAGGACAUCAAAACAGUUCACAGCUCCAGCAUCCGCCUCCUCGCAACCCCCCCUAAGUCUCAAGACACCAUUCCUCUUCGCAGUUCAGGAUGUCAUAAAUAAGGCCACGUAAGGAAAGACCACACAAGGACAGACGGAGAAGCAGCUGUCUACAAGCCAGGAAGAGAUGCCUCACCAGAAACCAACCACGCUGGCCACCCUGAUCUCGAGCAUCCAGCCUCCAAAAUUG